rnacentral:rRNA from 1 species
AACGAACGCUGGCGGCAUGCCUAACACAUGCAAGUCGAACGAGACCUUCGGGUCUAGUGGCGCACGGGUGCGUAACGCGUGGGAACCUGCCCUUAGGUUCGGAAUAACUCCCCGAAAGGGGUGCUAAUACCGGAUAAUGUCUUCGGACCAAAGAUUUAUCGCCUUUGGAUGGGCCCGCGUUGGAUUAGCUAGUUGGUAGGGUAAAAGCCUGCCAAGGCGACGAUCCAUAGCUGGUCUGAGAGGAUGAUCAGCCACACUGGGACUGAGACACGGCCCAGACUCCUACGGGAGGCAGCAGUGGGGAAGAUUGGACAAUGGGCGAAAGCCUGAUCCAGCAAUGCCGCGUGAGUGAUGAAGGCCUUAGGGGUGUAAAGCUCUUUUACCCGGGAUGAUAAUGACAGUACCGGGAGAAUAAGCUCCGGCUAACUCCGUGC